rnacentral:rRNA from 1 species
CAUUACAAGUGACCCCGGUCUAACCACCGGGAUGUUCAUAACCCUUUGUUGUCCGACUCUGUUGCCUCCGGGGCGACCCUGCCUUCGGGCGGGGGCUCCGGGUGGACACUUCAAACUCUUGCGUAACUUUGCAGUCUGAGUAAACUUAAUUAAUAAAUUAAAACUUUUAACAACGGAUCUCUUGGUUCUGGCAUCGAUGAAGAACGCAGCGAAAUGCGAUAAGUAAUGUGAAUUGCAGAAUUCAGUGAAUCAUCGAAUCUUUGAACGCACAUUGCGCCCCCUGGUAUUCCGGGGGGCAUGCCUGUUCGAGCGUCAUUUCACCACUCAAGCCUCGCUUGGUAUUGGGCAACGCGGUCCGCCGCGUGCCUCAAAUCGACCGGCUGGGUCUUCUGUCCCCUAAGCGUUGUGGAAACUAUUCGCUAAAGGGUGUUCGGGAGGCUACGCCGUAAAACAACCCCAUUUCUAAGGUUGACCUCGGAUCAGGUAGGGAUACCCGCUG